rnacentral:lncRNA from 1 species
UUCAACAACCCUUCAUGCUAAAAACUCUCAAUAAAUUAGGUAUUGAUGGGACGUAUUUCAAAAUAAUAAGAGGAAACACUUUUCAACAUGUUUUAUGAGUCUACCGUUAUCCCCAUACCAAAACCAUAAAACAGACAUUACAAGAAAAUGUCCUGUAGACAAAUAUGUAUUUUGAUGAUGAAUUUAGAUUUCAAAAACUUCAGCAAAAUAUUAUCCAAUUAAAUCCUCUCAUGUCUGUGUGUGUGUGUGUGUGCAUGCACGUGUGUUUGUAAAAUAUAUCAUUACUAAUUGGCGUUUAUCUUGGGAGUUCAAGAUGGUUUCCAUAUUCAAUCAACCCAUCAAUGUGGACUAUGGUCACUUGAAAAGACCAGCAAAUCCUCUGCACAAAAGGCCACUAGAAAUUCAUUAAAGCAGCCUUCCAUCAUUCUCGAAAUUGACCAAAGCAUUCAACUACCUGAGAAAUAUUUAUGUUUGGAAAGCUAUUGAAAUGCAAUUAAAAAUAUCAGGAAACCUGUUUUUACCUUUUGUCCUAAUCUUGCUAAAUCCUUCUUAAUUUUAGGAGACACUGCUUCUCCUUCCACUGUUCUUUUACUUUCUCCUUCCCCUUUGUUUUUGCCUCCCCCUUCCUCUCCCUUUUCUACAUUCCUUCUCUCUCCUAAAUGCUGUAUAAAUUUCUACAUAUGUAAUCAUAUUAUUUACAAAUAGGAACAGUUUUACUUAUUUCUUUCCAGUCUGCAUUUAUUUUAUUCUUCCUUUUUUUCCUUACACACUGGAUAGAACUCUAAGUAUUAUGUUGAAAAAGAGUGAUAAAAGCAAACAUCUUUGCUUUAUUCCUGAGCAUACAUGUGGAAAACAUUCAGUGUUUCACAGCUAAAUAUGAUGGAUUUUUUGUAUGCUCUUUAUCAAGAUGAAGGAAUUUUCUGCUAUUUCUGGUUUGCUGAAUUUUUAUCACAAGUAACUGUUGAAUAGUGUCUUUUUCCCCUGCAUUUAUUGAACUGAUCAUGCAUUCUCCUAUUUUAGAAUAUUAAUAUGAUGAACUAUAUUAUUAGAUUUUUUAAAAUAUUGCAACUGUCUUGCAUUUCUGGAAUAAACAUGGCUUGGUCAUGUGUCACUUUUUUACAUAGUGUCGUAUUCAAGUUGUCGAGGAUUUUGCAUCUAGGGUAUAUUUGUAGAUUUGCAUCUAGGUUAUGUUGGUCUAAAGUUUUGUUUGUUUGUUUUCCUUUUCUUUUUUUUUAUCAUCUUUGUCUUCUUCUGUUUAAGUGUCAUGCUUGCUUCAUAAAAUGAAUUGAGAAGCAUUUCUUCCUCUUCUGUUUCUCGAAAAUUGUAGAGAACUCUUGUUUUUUGUUGUUGUUUGUUUGUUGUUUUGUUUUUUCUUAUUUUUAUCCUCAUACUGAGAACCAAACAGUCUGGAGUGUAAAACAUGGUUCCUCAUUCCAGUUAAAUCUAGUAUACAAUGACAACAACCCUCUUGGGUUAAGCAUUGGCCUACAAACAGAAAAAAACCUUCAGGGAGAUAGAUGCUGAUCUAGGCAUUGUGAGAAAAGCUGAAUUCAUUUUUAAUCAUGAAUGGCUUUUAAGGAAAGAAGAUUUAUUAACUAAAAUAAAUAGAUUAGAGGGAAUUCUCACCUAUGAGAGAGGAAGGGAUGGGAUUCAACCUGGAAAAAGUAAUGAAGUUUUAGUGAACUUGGUAAGGUAGACUCAACAAUUAAUGAUGGAUAAUGCUAGGACCCAACACUGGUAAUGAGUUUGUAUUAUGACUCAAUAGCAUCACUUUAUCACUUUAACACAGAUGGAGGCCUAAAUAACCAUAGGGUAAUGGUUCUUCUUAGAUGCAGAAGGACACAUUUAUAUAAUCUUAGGGACCCCAUCUCUGAGGUCACUCAUAAUUUAUAUUAAUUCAUUGUUAUUGCCAUUGCCCCAAGAAUAGAUAAGGAUAAGACAUCCUGUAGUACAGGUAGCAGAGAUAUAAACUAUUCUUAUUCUUGUGUCUUGUCUAUAGGAAGGGAGUGUAUCCUGGUGUAAGACAGCAUAUAGUAGAGACCAUUGUCAAUUAGGGCCUGUGAACUAAGACAGGGUGACUGGCUAAGUCCACAACCCAUUAGAAACCCAGAAAUAAUCAAAUCAUGGUGAGUAGUAAUAACACUUAUUUAUAAUACUAUACGGUAUAAAGACAAGAACCAAUUAUGUUGAGUAGCUGUAACAAAUAGCUCUAUCAUUCGUAAUAACUUUUUCUGUAAUAAAACUGAAUUGUAACAUGAUCAUACUGCAAUAUGACAUUACACUAGCAUUGUUGGUAAGAUUCAACUAUCUUAUGUAGAGAAGUUAUAUAAUGCUUAUAUUGAUAAUCAAAUGUAUUAAGAUAUUGAGUUAAAGCCUCUUCAGAAUGUAAUCUGGGUGAAUAAUAAAUGGCCUGAGAAAACAGAAUUCAGCUAACCAUUAUCUAAUUUCAAUGCUAAAUAGUUCUGCACAGAUUUAUCAAAAAGUAAAAAUAAAAGCAGAUUGAGAGGAGGAAUGAAUAAUUUUGUUUGUACAAAAUAUUAAAGUGUAUGUAAUGGGCUUGUAGGAUGCAUUAGUAAUUUUUAAAAAUCAAUCUUUACCCUACACUGUGUCCAUAAAAUGCUAGGCAUAUUCAUGUUAAUAUUACUGUUGUUACUGUCAUAUAAAUGCCAUAUUCAAUGUAGAUGCUCAGAAAAAUAUGAUUGUUUUGCUACAGGAGAGAUUAGACCAGGGACAAUAAAUAUGGAUUAGGCAAGAAUGUGUUAACUCAGCAGCCCAGGGUUUUUUCAACCCUGCACAUUCAAAGGUAAGGUUUGUUUUUAGGACUAGCUAGCCUCUGAGUUCUGGAAAUAGUCUUACCGUGAAGAGUGUUUUUGUAUAUCUGAGGCCUUGGGUUUAUGGUGAAUGACUGACUUAUAUGCCUGAGGCCCUGAGCCAUGCUGUAUUUAUUUGAACCAUGUGGUAUCAAUUUAACCAGAUACGUUUAUUCUAAGAUAUGAUUUAUGCUGAAUGCCUGGUUUUGUUCUAGAGGGAUCAUGGAAAGGAAGCUGAAUUUGCCAAGUUUUGCCACUUGGGCAUUGCAUGCCUAUGUGAUUAACCACCAAUAAAAACCUGGGACAUCAAAGAAUAAAUAAGCUGCUCUAAUUGCCAAGAAUUCACAUGUGGUUGUAUGCAGCUUUACUGGGAGACUGAAGUGUAUCUGCAUGUGAUUCUGCUGUGAUGGACACUUGAUCUUGAGAUGACGUCAUACUGGAUGAUCCUAGUGCACCCUAAAUCCAAUAAGUGUUCUUAUGAAAGACAGAAGAGGAGAAGAUACAGGAAAUAGAAGAAGGCUACUUGAGGAUGGAAGCAGAGAUUGGAGUUAUGCAGCUACAAACCAAAGAAUGCCUUGAGCCACCAGCAGCUGAAAGAGCUAGUCAGCAAUACAACUGGGAUUUGAUAUCAGAUUCAUACGAUUCCGAAGACCCUGACCACCAAAUGCAAAAGAGUGGGGUGCUGGUGGAAACAUAUCCAAAAAUAUGGAAACGACAUUGGAACUGUGUAACAAGCAGAGGUUGGAACAGUUUGGAGGACUCAGAAGAAGACAGGAAAAUGUGGCCAAGUUUGGAACU